UGAACGCUGGCGGCAUGCUUUACACAUGCAAGUCGAACGGUAACAGGCCGCAAGGUGCUGACGAGUGGCGAACGGGUGAGUAAUGCAUCGGAACGUGCCCAGUCGUGGGGGAUAACUACUCGAAAGAGUAGCUAAUACCGCAUACGAUCUAUGGAUGAAAGCGGGGGACCGUAAGGCCUCGCGCGAUUGGAGCGGCCGAUGUCAGAUUAGGUAGUUGGUGGGGUAAAGGCUCACCAAGCCAACGAUCUGUAGCUGGUCUGAGAGGACAACCAGCCACACUGGGACUGAGACACGGCCCAGACUCCUACGGGAGGCAGCAGUGGGGAAUUUUGGACAAUGGGCGCAAGCCUGAUCCAGCAAUGCCGCGUGCAGGAAGAGGGCCUUCGGGUUGUAAACUGCUUUUGUACGGAACGAAACGGCUCUGGUUAAUACCCGGGGCUAAUGACGGUACCGUAAGAAUAAGCACCGGCUAACUACGUG
rnacentral:rRNA from 1 species